CUCAGCUUCCACGCUUCCAGAGAAGGAGCAAGAUUGGUCCCAGAUUUCCGCGUCCAAAUGUGUCUCUCUUAAGAAACUUAUCUUCUUCUGAGGUGAACCGUAGGAAUAGUAUCUAAAGCGAGAAGAGGAAGAAACAAUGUCCUCAAGAAACAGAGAGGAGCGGCCAGAACUAUAACCAAAAUAGCCACUCAAACCCAAGGCCACAAACAGCGGCAACCAGAGAGGAGAUUGCCGAGCCGAUGGAGCGGGCAAGAAUAAGAUUUGCCCCACAUGAAGCAUUGCAAAGUACUACUACAAAGAUCGAGUCACGCGGUGUUGCUGAUGCCGACGAUGCGAAUGGCGAUGGAGGUUUGCGGCUGCAUAUAUAGUGGGUUGUUCUUAUGGACGGAUGUGAGUUAUGUGGGCAAAGAGCACGAGGGCUUCAAGCUUCCCGGAGGCUUCCUUCUCCGGCGCUGCCUCCCACAGCUGGUUCCAGGCGGUGGAAGAACACGCGGGGUCUAUUUCUCUCUCUCUCCUCUCUGAUUUCCUGUUGCUCUGGUUUAUACAUGCGGAGUCGAUGAGGUGUCUGGGCAAAAAGGAGUAACAAAUCUGCUUCAAAAGGAAUGCACAGCUUUUCUCUUCCGGGGAAUAAAUAUCACGAAUGGUAACUUUAUGUUAAAAUAUGGAACCAUAUACUCAGAUUUUUAUUUUUAUUUGUCUUCAUGUAACAAUCAGUUUUAUAGCUGCCGAUACCAAAUGUAUCUCGGCUAAGUCCUUAA